UACGUAGGGGGCAAGCGUUGUCCGGAUUUAUUGGGCGUAAAGAGCGUGUAGGCGGCCAGACAAGUCCGUUGUGAAAACUAGAGGCUUAACCUCUAGACGUCGAUGGAAACUGUUUGGCUAGAGUCCGGAAGAGGAGAAUGGAAUUCCUGGUGUAGCGGUGAAAUGCGCAGAUAUCAGGAAGAACACCCGUGGCUAAGGCGGUCUCUACGUACGG
rnacentral:rRNA from 1 species